rnacentral:rRNA from 1 species
UACGUAGGGGGGCUAGCGUUGUCCGGAUUUAUUGGGCGUAAAGAGCGUGUAGGCGGCCAGGUAGGUCUGGUGUGAAAACUCGAGGCUCAACCUCGAGAGGUCAUCGGAAACCAUUUGGCUAGAGUCCGGAAGAGGAGAGUGGAAUUCCCCGGUGUAGCGGUGAAAUGCGCAGAUAUCGGGAAGAACACCUAUGGCGAAGGCAGCUCUCUGGGACGGUACUGACGCUGAGACGCGAAAGCGUGGGGGAGCGAACAGG